GACGAACGCUGGCGGCGUGCUUAACACAUGCGAGUCGAACGGAAAGGCCCUGCUUUUGUGGGGUGCUCGAGUGGCGAACGGGUGAGUAACACGUGAGUAACCUGCCCUUGACUUUGGGAUAACUUCAGGAAACUGGGGCUAAUACCGGAUAGGAGCUCCUGCUGCAUGGUGGGGGUUGGAAAGUUUCGGCGGUUGGGGAUGGACUCGCGGCUUAUCAGCUUGUUUGUGGGGUAGUGGCUUACCAAGGCUUUGACGGGUAGCCGGCCUGGGAGGGUGACCGGCCACAUGGGGACUGAGAGACGGACCAGACUCCUACGGGAGGCAGCAGUGGGGAAUAUUGCACAAUGGGCGGAAGCGUGAUGCAGCAACGCCGCGUGCGGGAUGACGGCCUACGGGUUGUAAACCGCUUUCGCCUGUGACGAAGCGUGAGUGACGGUAAUGGGUAAAGAAGCAACGGCUAACUACGUG
rnacentral:rRNA from 1 species